GUCACAGAUGAAAAUAUUGCUCCCGGCUCCUUACCAGUCCUCAAAUUAAUGAGUCAAAAACGCUUUACAUCUCUAGCAUAAGUCCUCCACUUGAAGGAAUGUGGUAAUGAAGUUGAGCUUCUCCCAGAAUUAAGGAAGUCAGACACCUGCACAAUCCUAGUCCGACAAACUCUAGAUCAAGGUUUGCUUCCAAGGACAGGAGGGAGAGAUGCGCCCUGCGGCGGAGGACUUUUGUCCACCGCUAUUUUGAAUACUGUAUUCUACCAAGUCCAGAAGUAACUGUGCUUUCUCCAGAAUGGCCACACAAAGAGCUCCAUGGCUACCCAGGGAGGUAAAAGUUCUUCUGUCCAAAUAUCUCUUGGGCUGUGGACACUGACAGAGGCAUCAGACAGAGCAGCCCCCUGACUCCUCAGCCCCCCAGGGCAGCAGCUGUGCCUCCUAAAACACCAGAGCCAGGGGCAUGGGAGAAGGCGCGAAGGGCCAGAUGCUGCACUUCUCACGCUGACCACUGGAUCAUGGGCCAGACAGGUGAGUUGUGGGUCAUCUGAAUUUCCCUGGUGAACUGAGCCAAUCUUGAGUCCCUUGUCCUGACCGUGGAGUAGUUGACGAUAGCUGUUCAGAGGAGAGGACACAGCCAGGACAACUCACAGGCAGAAUCAGUCACCUUGACUCCACCAGCCAGUCGUCCUCCAACCAGAAGUACUCAAAGGGGCCAAUAAAACCUGACAGAAUGGCACAUCAGAGGCAGGAACCACACUUCUCAUUCUAUUACAGUGUAAGAAGAAAAAAAAGGGGACUGUGAGGACCUGGGGAAAGGGCAGUUGGGUCAGAAGGGAACAUCUUCAGUAAACAGCCAGAGACUCUCAGCCCUCAUCACAGACCAGCAAAACCUCCACGUCACAAGGGAACAGCAGCCUUCAAGGGGAAAGAUGGUGAUCAUCUCCCUCUGGAGAAAAUCCCUCCGCCCCCACAAUGGGGGCAGAGGUGCAGCCACCUCACCCCGCAGCAUGUGGGUGCAGGAGGAGCCUCUGCUGGGCCCCUGAGAAGCUCUCUGAAGCCCUGACCUCUGGUGACUUCCUGCGUCUGCCCAAGCAGAGAUGUGAGCAGCAGGUUCGGGGCUGGAGCUCCCCUCUUCUUGGGAAAGGCAUCAUUCUGCCGGUUUUCAGCCUCUCCCACUUCUGUAGGAACCCCCAGUUGCAUGGAAAUGUAGCUAUUCCCUCCUGCCUCAGCCUCCUUCAGGGACCUCCUGCCACUGGAGUCAAUCUCCACCUGCAGUCAGGGCAGCACAGUCCCCUGGGGGCUCAGCAGAGGGAAUCUGCCUCAGCAGCAACUGGGCUUCACCAGCUGACCAGAUCUGGCCUUUCCGUGCUUGCCACAGGACAGUCAUGCAGGCCGUCUCUCUGUGCCGACACUCUCAGAGAAGCUGGAAUUCAGCUGUGAUCGUUAAUCAUGAGGUCAUCUUGACUUGGAUUAAGAACCAUCUAGCAGAACAGUAAAGUUCUGGGUGGGGCUGUGGGUGACUGACAUACAUACAGGCCAGCAAACUCAGAGGUGAAGACUCACCCUGAAUGUGGAUGCUCCCAGCCAAUAAGCUGGUGUGCUGGGCAGAAUAAAAAGGGAAAGAAGGAAGUCUUUCUCUUCUGAUCCUGCAAGCCUAAGUACUAAACCCCUUUGUAUAAUUAUUGUAUAUGGAUUCUGUUCCCCAGAGAGUCAUAGCUAAUACCCAGCCUCUUCCUGGCCACACCUCCCUCCUGCCUCCCUCCCUGGCCAGUGCCACCCCUGUGGUGGGCUCUGAGGCUAUCCCUGCCCACUCUGUUCCUCCUCUGUGCCUUUACACAAGUUUCUUCCAAUUAACCUCCCAUGUCCCUCAUUCCACUUUGCCGGACACUUCCCUGAGGAUCAGAAGUUAUACCUCCUGCCUGAGGCGGCCAGAGAGUCACCCUGUGCCCAAAGACAAAGCUCUCAUCUGCCCUCCAGGCCUGGGGUGCUGAGACCCUGGAUUACUCGUUUGUCACAGGGCACAAGUCACAAUGGCCAGUGCUCACUCAUAUUUAUGUGCCAAGCACUCCUGUGGCCCCAUAGAGAAAGCCACCAAAGUGGUCUCCAUCUUUCCUGUGAGAAAACUGGCAGCUCAAUGUCACACAGCUCCCAAGGACUGGGAGGAGUCACCCCAGCUCUGGCAAUGAUCCCACGGUGGUUGCUCACUAUAGGAGCAACUAUCUCCUAUCCAUCACUUAGCCCAGGGCCCAGUACCUCCCUGACAGCUGGGAAUCAGGAUGUGAGCUCCUGAAUAGAAACCUAUCUGUCAUGAGCUCAGUACUUCCCAACCUAUAGGGAGAGGUGACUCUGUUACCAGGUAGCUUUGGGCUCAACCUUUGUUUGGUCCUUCGACUGAAAAGUCAUUAAUUGUGUGGUUGUGUUGAAGGUCCUCUAAGUGCAGAUUGAAAGUUUUGUAAUGAGCUUUAAGAAGUGUUGGGAGCAGGAGCCAGGGGUCCGGCAGUGAACGGGUGUGGGAAACCACACACUGAAGCUGGACCUCAAUCAGUUCCUCAUCCUGCAGUGACCUCAGCCUUCUAGACAAAGCAUCGCGCUGAUAUUAACCUGGGAAAAGCUUCAUAACAUAAACAAUAGAAGUUUCUCAUGGGCCCAAGAACAUGUUUACCUCCUGGGCUGCACAACAUAGAAGUUUCUCACGGGCCCAGGAGCAUGUUUACCUUUGCUGUGUGCACAAGAAAGUGUCCUGAAGUGACUUGUACUGCUCUUUGUUUUGAAACAUUAUAAAAACUCUGUAGUCUUUCAAUAAAUCGCCUUUUGCCUCCUGA